rnacentral:rRNA from 1 species
GAUGAACGCUGGCGAGAUGCCUUACACAUGCAAGUCGUACGGGGAUUUUUAAUUCAAGUGGCGGACGGGUGAGUAACACGUAAGAAUUUGCCUUUAGGAGGGGGACAACAACUGGAAACGGUUGCUAAUACCCCAUAUGCUUUCGAGUGAAAUGGAUUUUAUCCGCCUAGAGAGAAGCUCGCGGCUGAUUAGCUUGUUGGUAAGGUAAGAGCUUACCAAGGCGACGAUCAGUAUCUGGUUUGAGAGGACGAUCAGACACACUGGAACUGAGACACGGUCCAGACUCCUACGGGAGGCAGCAGUGGGGAAUUUUCCGCAAUGGGCGAAAGCCUGACGGAGCAAUACCGCGUGAGGGAAGAAUGCCUAUGGGUUGUAAACCUCUUUUUUCUAGGGAGGAAUAAAAUGACGUGUACCUGAAGAAUAAGCAUCGGCUAACUCCGUG